AGCACACCUUUUUAUUCUGGCACUUUGAGUGUCCGAUUUGUAAUUUGAAGAAGGUAUCUUUGGGUCUGGCUCUUGUCUAUGUUUCUUGGAACAGAACGUCACAGAGGGUGAGAAUCCCGUGCGAUGAGAUGUCCCAGACCUAUGUAAAGUUCCUUCGAAGAGUCGAGUUGUUUGGGAAUGCAGCUCUAAGUGGGUGGUAAAUUCCAUCUAAAGCUAAAUAUUGGCGAGAGACCGAUAGCGAACAAGUACAGUGAUGGAAAGAUGAAAAGAACUUUGAAAAGAGAGUGAAAAAGUACGUGAAAUUGUUGAAAGGGAAGGGCUUGAGAUCAGACUUGGUAUUUUGUAUGUUACUCUCUCGGGGGUGGCCUCUACAGUUUACCGGGCCAGCAUCAGUUUGAGCGGUAGGAUAAGUGCAAAGAAAUGUGGCACUGCUUCGGUAGUGUGUUAUAGUCUUUGUCGAUACUGCCAGCUUAGACUGAGGACUGCGGCUUCGGCCUAGGAUGUUGGCAUAAUGAUCUUAAGUCGC
rnacentral:rRNA from 1 species